UCAGUAACACGUAGUCAACCUGCCCUGGAGACAUGGACAACCCCGGGAAACUGGGAUUAAUCCGUGAUAGGUCAUCUCAUCUGGAAGGAGAGAUGGCUUAAAGGGGUGCGCGGGCUUCUUCUGCGCAUUCGCUCUAGGAUGGGACUGCGUCCGAUCAGGCUGUUGGCGGGGUAAUGGCCCACAAACCUGUAACCGGUACGGGCCUUGAGAGAGGUGGCCCCGGAGAUGGACACUGAGAGAAGGGUCCAGGUCCUACGGGGCGCAGCAGGCGCGAAACCUUCGCAAUGCGCGAAAGCGUGACGAGGUUAAUCCGAGUGGUCCCCGCUGAGGGGAUCUUUUGUCAGCUGUAAAUAGGCAGGCGAAUAAGGGGAGGGCAAGCCUGGUGCCA
rnacentral:rRNA from 1 species